rnacentral:rRNA from 1 species
GACGAACGCUGGCGGCGUGCUUAACACAUGCAAGUCGAACGGAAAGGCCCUGCUUGCAGGGUACUCGAGUGGCGAACGGGUGAGUAACACGUGGGUGAUCUGCCCUGCACUUCGGGAUAAGCCUGGGAAACUGGGUCUAAUACCGGACAGGAGCCAUUUUUAGCGUGAUGGUUGGAAAGUUUUUUCGGUGUAGGAUGAGCUCGCGGCCUAUCAGCUUGUUGGUGGGGUAAUGGCCUACCAAGGCGGCGACGGGUAGCCGGCCUGAGAGGGUGGACGGCCACAUUGGGACUGAGAUACGGCCCCGACUCCUACGGGAGGCAGCAGUGGGAAAGAUUGAACGAUGGGCGCAAGCCUGGUGCAGCGGCGCCGCGUAGGGGAUGACGGCCUUCGGGUUGUAGACUCCUUUCGCUAGGGACGAAGCUUUUUGUGACGGUACCUAGAUAAGAAGCACCGGCUAACUACGUG